rnacentral:sRNA from 1 species
CCUCAGGGUGCUUUCCUGAAGUCCUGCCCUGAGCCCCAACCCAACCCUGAGGAGGGGGCCCUCUGGAGCUCGGGUGCCCCCGGCCCCGCAGGGAGAGAUGAUUGACAGGAUCGAGUACAAUGUGGAACACGCGGUAGACUAUGUGGAGAGGGCUGUGUCUGACACCAAGAAGGCCGUCAAGUACCAGAGCAAGGCGCGCCGGAAGAAAAUUAUGAUCAUCAUCUGCUGUGUGAUCCUGGGCAUCGUCAUCGCCUCCACUGUUGGGGGCAUCUUCGCCUAGAAGCCACCCAAACUGCCACUCCACUCCAGGUGGGCCACUCCAAGGAGGCCCUGGCUGCUGCCACCUGGCUGGGCUGCCCUCCCAACCCCCGCCUCUGGCUCAGAGCACCCUCCCUCCCAGCCCCCACGCUCCCUUCUCUGCCAUGGGCCCUCCGUCCCCGCCCCGUGUCGUGUGCAUGAUCUCUGUGAGUGUGCGUCUGUACGGGAAGAGGCAGAGGGAGGCAGCCAGCGGGGCGUGAUGCAGUAUGCACAGCGAGGGGCAGAUCCAGGCAGGGCCGCCAGAGUGACACAGGCCACCCUUCCUUGCCUUCAGUAACUCGGUGGGCCCGGGUUCUGCUCUUCCCUGGGGACCCUAACCUCGCCUCCAACUGACCUGCCCUGUCCUCUGGCCUCUCCAGCUGUCCCCACAAGCAGAGCCCUGAGGGGUGGGGACCAGCUGGCCACAUGGUGCUGCUUUUCAGGUUAGGGGAGAGGUGGCCCUGAGGGACAGCCCAGCUCUGAGUCUCAAUCGCUGAUCACUGCCAGGGAGGCUCAGGCUGCCAUGGCUCCAGGCUCCCUCCCCUGCCUAGGGGCAAAGUCCAUCGGGUCCUGGGCCUCAGCUUCCCUUCCCACAUUUCUCCAGCCCCAGGAGCAACCCCUUGGGCUAGGUCUGACCC